CAAUAGCGUAUAUUAAAGUUGUUGCAGUUAAAAAGCUCGUAGUUGGAUUUCUGGUGGGAGCGAUCGGUCUGGCGCUUAGCGCGAGUACUUGCAUCGUCUCCGGCCAUCCUUGGGGAGAGUCUGUCUAGCAUUAGGUUGUCGGGCAGAGGAUCCUCAUCGUUUACUGUGAAAAAAUUAGAGUGUUCAAAGCAGGCUUAUGCCGUUGAAUAUAUUAGCAUGGAAUAAUAAGAUAGGACUUUGGUACUAUUUUGUUGGUUUGCGCACCAAAGUAAUGAUUAAUAGGGACAGUUGGGGGUAUUCGUAUUCCGUUGUCAGAGGUGAAAUUCUUGGAUUUACGGAAGACGAACUACUGCGAAAGCAUUUACCAAGGAUGUUUUCAUUAA
rnacentral:rRNA from 1 species